ACGAAUAACUAUGGUGUCUUGGUUGUAGCUGGCUCCUCGGAGCAAUGUGCACGCCCGCCAUUUUUAUCUUUCCACCUGUGCACCGACUGUAGGUCUGGAUACCUCUCGCCCUUCACGGGGCGGAUGCGAGGAUUGCUCGUAAGGGCUCUCCUCGAAUUUCCAGGCUCUACGUCUUUUUACACACCCCAAUAGUAUGAUGCAGAAUGUAGUCAAUGGGCUUCUUAGCCUAUAAAACACUAUA
rnacentral:misc_RNA from 1 species